rnacentral:rRNA from 1 species
CCUACGGGCGGCAGCAGUAGGGAAUCUUUCACAAUGGGCGAAAGCCUGAUGGAGCAACGCCGCGUGCAGGAUGAAGGCCUUCGGGUUGUACACUGCUUUUAUAAGCGAGAAAUAUGAUGGUAACUUAUGAAUAAGGAUCGGCUAACUACGUGCCAGCAGCCGCGGUCAUACGUAGGAUCCGAGCAUUAUCCGGGGUGACUGGGUGUAAAGAGUUGCGUAGGUGGCAUAAUAAGUAGCUAGUGAAAUCUGGUGGCUCAACCAUUCAGACUAUUAGCUAAACUGUUAAGCUCGAGACCGUUAGGGGUAACUGGAAUUUCUAGUGUAGGAGUGAAAUCCGUAGAUAUUAGAAGGAACACCAAUAGCGUAGGCAGGUUGCUGGGACGGUUCUGACACUAAGGCACGAAAGCGUAGGGAGCAAACGGGAUUAGAUACCCGAGUAGUC